AUAUACUACAACUGCUGCUGUGUUGGUGACUUGAUGGCUCAGUUUGGUUGCUUCAUUAAGUAUACCUGUUGUAUCUUUUCUCUCAUUGGCUUCACCUUGUUUUGUUGUCAAACUUGGAUCGUUCCUGUCACUCCACCAUCGCCAUACAUCAUCUAUGUCAGAAACACACACUCUUUACCACUGGUACUUUAUAAUAUACACAUACUAAAUAUCAAUACAGUAUCUCUAACUUGAAAUGAACUUGCUUUUCUAAAACUUAUUGAAAACUCUUUGAAUGUAAUAAUGUUCUGUAAUGCCUCCUUAUUGUGCAUACUGUUACGUCCUCGUCUUCCCCACGAUGCCUGUUCUUUUUGUAAGGGCCAACUAAGGGGAUUGAAUGGUCAUGAUGUUUCAUCUCACUCCAUUUGCAUGGGUUGUUGCUCGUACUAUGGAUCUACUGGUCUACUUGGUUGGUUAUGAUAUGACUUGAGAAUUGCUGACACCGAUGUUACACAAAGGGACUCAAUCUUCUCCAUGCAAUUGGUUGCACCUACCUCAUUUAAAAUAAGAUUGUUUACUCUGAUAUGAUACCUCUCAGUGUUAAAAUCGGAUAAAUCAUCUUUUGAAGGUCUCGUUGGGUGAACAAACUCCCAAUCAAAAUGAAGGAUGAAGGGAUCUUAUCAUUCCGAGGUCACAUUUCUCCAAUGAGUUCACUCCUGUUCUUGAUUUUGAAUACUUAUCUUGGUU